GAUGAACGCUGGCGGCAGGCUUAACACAUGCAAGUCGAGCGCCCCGCAAGGGGAGCGGCAGACGGGUGAGUAACGCGUGGGAAUCUACCCAUCACUACGGAACAACUCCGGGAAACUGGAGCUAAUACCGUAUACGUCCUUCGGGAGAAAGAUUUAUCGGUGAUGGAUGAGCCCGCGUUGGAUUAGCUAGUUGGUGGGGUAAUGGCCCACCAAGGCGACGAUCCAUAGCUGGUCUGAGAGGAUGAUCGGCCACACUGGGACUGAGACACGGCCCAGACUCCUACGGGAGGCAGCAGUAGGGAAUAUUGGACAAUGGGCGCAAGCCUGAUCCAGCCAUGCCGCGUGAGUGAUGAAGGCCCUAGGGUUGUAAAGCUCUUUCACCGGUGAAGAUAAUGACGGUAACCGGAGAAGAAGCCCCGGCUAACUUCGUGCCAGCAGCCGCCGUAA
rnacentral:rRNA from 1 species